rnacentral:rRNA from 1 species
UAAAAGUGACGCUGGCGCGUCUUAACACAUGCAGUCGAACGAACCUUCGGGUUAGUGGCGGACGGGUGAGUAACGCGUGAGAAUCUGCCCUCAGGAGGGGGAUAACGGUUGGAAACGACCGCUAAUACCCCAUAUGCCUAUUGGUGAAAUGAAUUUCGCCUGAGGAUGAGCUCGCGUCUGAUUAGCUAGUUGGUGAGGUAAUGGCUCACCAAGGCUUCGAUCAGUAGCUGGUCUGAGAGGAUGAUCAGCCACACUGGGACUGAGACACGGCCCAGACUCCUACGGGAGGCAGCAGUGGGGAAUUUUCCGCAAUGGGCGAAAGCCUGACGGAGCAACGCCGCGUGAGGGACGAAGGCCUCUGGGCUGUAAACCUCUUUUCUCAAGGAAGAAGAUAUGACGGUACUUGAGGAAUAAGCCACGGCUAAUUCCGUGCCAGCAGCCGCGGUAAUACGGGAGUGGCAAGCGUUAUCCGGAAUUAUUGGGCGUAAAGCGUCCGCAGGCGGCUUUUCAAGUCUGCUGUUAAAGCGUGGAGCUUAACUCCAUCAUGGCAGUGGAAACUGAGAGGCUUGAGUAUGGUAGGGGCAGAGGGAAUUCCCGGUGUAGCGGUGAAAUGCGUAGAUAUCGGGAAGAACACCAGUGGCGAAGGCGCUCUGCUGGGCCAUUACUGACGCUCAUGGACGAAAGCCAGGGGAGCGAAAGGGAUUAGAUACCCCUGUAGUCCUGGCCGUAAACGAUGAACACUAGGUGUCGGGGGAAUCGACCCCUUCGGUGUCGUAGCUAACGCGUUAAGUGUUCCGCCUGGGGAGUACGCACGCAAGUGUG